rnacentral:rRNA from 1 species
UAGGGAAUCUUCGGCAAUGGACGAAAGUCUGACCGAGCAACGCCGCGUGAGUGAAGAAGGUUUUCGGAUCGUAAAACUCUGUUGUUAGAGAAGAACAAGGACGUUAGUAACUGAACGUCCCCUGACGGUAUCUAACCAGAAAGCCACGGCUAACUACGUGCCAGCAGCCGCGGUAAUACGUAGGUGGCAAGCGUUGUCCGGAUUUAUUGGGCGUAAAGCGAGCGCAGGCGGUUUCUUAAGUCUGAUGUGAAAGCCCCCGGCUCAACCGGGGAGGGUCAUUGGAAACUGGGAGACUUGAGUGCAGAAGAGGAGAGUGGAAUUCCAUGUGUAGCGGUGAAAUGCGUAGAUAUAUGGAGGAACACCAGUGGCGAAGGCGGAUCUCUGGUCUGUAAAUGACGCUGAGGCUCGAAAGCGUGGGGAGCAAACAGG